UACGGGAGGCAGCAGUAGGGAAUCUUCCGCAAUGGACGAAAGUCUGACGGAGCAACGCCGCGUGAACGAUGAAGGCUUUCGGGUCGUAAAGUUCUGUUGUUAGGGAAGAACAAGUACCAGAGUAACUGCUGGUACCUUGACGGUACCUAACCAGAAAGCCACGGCUAACUACGUGCCAGCAGCCGCGGUAAUACGUAGGUGGCAAGCGUUGUCCGGGAUUAUUGGGCGUAAAGCGCGCGCAGGUGGUUCUUUUAAGUCUGAUGUGAAAGCCCACGGCUCAACCGUGGAGGGUCAUUGGAAACUGGGGAACUUGAGUGCAGAAGAGGAAAGUGGAAUUCCACGUGUAGCGGUGAAAUGCGUAGAGAUGUGGAGGAACACCAGUGGCGAAGGCGACUUUUCUGGUCUGUAACUGACACUGAGGCGCGAAAGCGUGGGGAGCGAACAGGGAUUAGAUACCCGU
rnacentral:rRNA from 1 species